CGAGUCCGGCGGACGAAGUUAGCCGGCCCCACCCCCCAAGGCUAUAGCCCACCCGUUUUUGUUGCCUUUUUCCGCUGGACGAACUUGGCGCCCCGGCCUUCGGGUGUUUAUUUUUGGGCGCGGCUGUCCCCGCGGCCUAUUUUUGGCACACGGAGGUGCCUCGCAAAGUCUCGCGCCAUUUCGAGUCCGGCGGACGAAGUUGGCCAGCCCCACCCCCCAAGGCUAUAGCCCACCCGUUUUUGUGGGCUUUUUCCGCUGGACGAACUUGGCGCACCGGCCUUCGGGUGGUUAUUUUUGGGCGCAGCUGUGCCCGCGGCCUAUUUUUGGUGCACGGAGGUGCCUCGCAAAGUCUGGCGCCAUUCCGAGUCCAGCGGACGAAGUUGGCCAGCCCCACCCCCCAAGGCUAUAGCCCACCCGUUUUUGUGGCCUUUUUCCGCUGGACGAACUUGGCGACCCAGCCUUCGGGCGGUUAUUUUUGGCUGCGGUUGUACCCGUGGCCUAUUUUUGGCACACGGAGGCGCCUCACAAAGUCUCGCGCCAUUCCGAGUCCGGCGGACGAAGUUGGCCAGCCCCACCCCCCAAGGCUAUAGCCCACCCGUUUUUGUGGGCUUUUUCCGCUGGACGAACUUGGCGCCCCGGCCUGCGGGUGAUUAUUUUUGGGGGCGGCUGUGCCCACGGCCCAUUUUUGGCACACGGAGAUGCCUCGCAAAGUCUCGCGCCAUUCCGAGUCCGGCGGACGAAGUUGGCCUGCCCCACCCCCCAAGGCUAUAGCCCACCCGUUUUUGUGGGCUUUUUCCGCUGGACGAACUUGGCUCCCCGGCCUUCGGGUGGUUAUUUUUGGGCGCGGCUGUGCCCGCGGCCCAUUUUUGGGACACGGAGGCCCCUCGCAAAGUC
rnacentral:lncRNA from 1 species